UCUGGACUUGGGACUGGGACCAUGACCUAUAAGAACCAAGGCGCCUAUGAACCAGACUUGAAGAGAGAGAGGUUUUUCAGGACAAGCCAAGAUGCAAGAAACAAGGCUAGAGACCUGACCUGCCUAUCAAUCAAGAAGAAGGUUCCAAAUGGAAUGUUCCCAGGGGAGGCAGGCCACAGGAGGAGAAGAAGCAGGAUCUAAAACUUCUGACUCUGUCUCUGGCCCUGGCAGUUGAGCCUGAGUAAAGGGGAAGAAGCUAAGAACUACCUCUCUAUGUAUAACAUAUUAUGUAUAAUAUA
rnacentral:lncRNA from 1 species